CAACAUGUCAAAUUGGCAUCGUAGGUGAAUACUAAGGGAAAAUCAUGAUUGAACCUUACGAAUAGUGCUGUCCAAAGCUGGUGCCAGAAGACUCGGUAAGGCCAGGGGCGCAAACGUUAGUCGUCUUAAUAAGGCGUAAAGGGUUCGUAGGCAGCUCAUAAAGUUAUAAAUUUAUUAUUAGUCUUAAUUAUAUAGAAAAUAAUACAAAGUUUUGGUGGAUAAUGUAUAGAAUUAUUGGUUUAAUCUAAAAUUUACGGAUUGAUUAAUAAAUAGUCCAGUAUUUAUUAAUUGCGGUUGAAUAAAUUUAUACAAAGUCUGUUCUUAAGGGAGGUUAUUGUUUUAUAUAAGGUAGGUAGAAUUAUAAUUAGUAAUGAGAUAGAAUCUUAUUGGGGUUAAAUUAAAUAAUACUUAGGGUUAGGGAUAAAAUCUGUAGAACCUAAGGGGAAUACUAAUGGCGAAGGCUAUUUUUCCACUAAAGAUUGACGCUGAGGAACGAAGGUUAGGAUAGGAAAAAGGAUUAGAUACCCAAGUACCCCUUUCUGUCAACGAUGAAUGGUGUUUUCUAGGAUUCCGAGAGAACUAGUUUUUAUGCUAACGCGAUAACCAUUCCGCCUUGUGAGUACGGCUGCAAAGCUGAAAACAAAAAAAUUAGUCGGUCUCGAAGCAAACGAAGUGAAGCAUGUUAUUUAAUACGAUAAUCCGCGU
rnacentral:rRNA from 1 species